UUUAACAAUUUAUUAUAAAAAAUCUAUUAUUUUAUUUAUAUUGUUAUGUUUUUUUGAUAAAUACGAUUUAAGUGAAGUAUUAAUAGAAUUAUUAGAGUUCCAGGCAGAAUUGCAUAACAGGACAUUUGGUAAAGUAGAAGAUCUGGAAAAAUUCGACAAAUUUAUUGAAGAAAUCUUAAAUGAUUACACUCCUGAUCAAAUAAUGCCUGCAUUACAAUUACUAUUAAAUAAUUAAGUUGUAAUUUCUAUGUCCAAUCAUUUAUUGUAUUUAAUUAAUAUUUUUAUUGCUUUAAAGUAAUUUAUAUCUCGUUUUUUAAUUUAUUGUUCACUCUGUGCCUUUUUAUAAUUAUUCUUGUAUUAACAGUGUACUCUUUCAUUUGUUUUUUAGUCAUGUUUAAAAUAAUCCAAUUCGUUGUUAUUUGAACGCUAUGUGGGUUAAGUUUCAUUAUAUGUCCAGUUCAUGUUGGCGUCUACUUUUUGCAUAUUGUUAUAAAUAUUUAAAAAACACGCUUAUUAGAAACAUUACAUACUGAUAGUAGACUACACAAAUAGAGUCAAGAAAUUCAUAAAUAACAAAGAAAAAUGUAAUAAACAAAAAUUAACAUAAAGAAGUAGGGAUAGAUUUGAAUAGAGGAGUUGUGAGUAAGGAGUGAGUAAGAGGUGAGUUAGAGUUGAGAUAGUAUAUGGGAAUUUUGGGGUUUAAUAUGUAGAGUAAAGUAAUAAUUUU